UGAUAAAUCUUCCCCUAUGUAACUAUGUUCUUUAUGAUACACAUUUGCCGCAUAACCAGAUGACUGUGGACAAUAGCUGAAAAAACGAGUCUGCUCAGAGGAGGCACUACGUGGAUGAUGAUGGACUGCCAAGUAACCCAUUAUGGCCCACAUCACUUCUCCACUCAAGAAGGAUUUAGCAAUAUCCCAGACUAUCUGGUCCGGUGAAGUAUCCCAAUUAAAAGGAAUGAACUCUUCUAAAUGCUCCUCUAUAACCUCAAUAUCAAUUAGCUCCAACCAAUAUGGAUUUAU